rnacentral:tRNA from 1 species
AUAAGCAUAAUUUAAUUAAAAUACUGAGCUGUGGUCUCAACAUUAGAGACUAGUACUCUCUUGCAUAUC